rnacentral:rRNA from 1 species
CGACGUAAGAACUUGCCUCACAGAUAGGGACAACAUUUGGAAACGAAUGCUAAUACCUGAUAUUAUGAUUUUAGGGCAUCCUAGGAUUAUGAAAGCUACAUGCGCUGUGAGAGAGCUUUGCGUCCCAUUAGCUAGUUGGAGAGGUAACGGCUCACCAAGGCGAUGAUGGGUAGCCGGCCUGAGAGGGUGAUCGGCCACAAGGGGACUGAGACACGGCCCUU